AAAGCCUUCAGUUUCAUCUUUAGAUGUCUGAAGAAUGCAGCUGAAAUAAGAGAUUGUUGCUUGUUCACGAAGCUCACCUACCGUUGGAUCAUAAAACAUCAUUCCAUAUGAAUCUUCGACAUCUAAACAUCCUGUAGAUAAUUCCACCAGCAGCUUGCGGAUCAUAUGAAAAUGAACACUGACAUACCCUGUCCUGGCAAUACUGAGCAUGUGAGUCACCACCCUAAGGAAAGAUGUAUUCAAGAUGGGGCAAGAGCACCGUUUAGGGCAAGCAAUCCAUGACCGUUCCACAAGAAUCUGUAACAAAUCACCAAGAAUUUGUUCUCUCUUACCAAAAUCAGCAAAAUCUCUGCAAUUCGCAUCAAGAAGAGAACUGAUUUGCAAUAAUAUCCCGUGUAUUGAAUUGAAAGAAGCACAAUGGACGUCAUCAGUUGCAUUUAUUAUGCUUGCCGAAGAAGUAGUUCUGAUUUGACUCUCUGAGAAUGGUAGCUCAGAAGCAAUAAGCAGGAGGGUAGAUGCAAGUUUUUCAUUAGAUACUAGCCCAUUUAAAGCU
rnacentral:lncRNA from 1 species